CUAGAGAUAUAUUUAAAAGAAUUUAUACAUGAUGUUUAAACACAGAUAUCAAUAUCGAGUAAAAGCAUAUCAACAAUUUAAUUUUAUCGAAAUGACAUCCACGGAAGAAGUACAUUAAUCACAGAGAGUCACAAACGAUAGUAGAAUAUACUUUAUUCAAUUUGGCAAUUGUUAUUUAUUGUUUUGUGUUUUUUCUUCAUAUGACGUCGCGAUCUAGAAAAUAUAUCGAAAAUAAAAAUAUAUUUGUCGGAAACAGUGUUGAAUUUAAUUCAUACAUAUUUGAUAUAGGUAUUUAUAUGGAUUGUUGACUGGCUAAGAAUUUCUUAGUAACAAAUCAGUUGUUUUAAGGGCACAAACAUUUAUAAUUUUUGGUUUAUUACUUGAAUAAGAUAUCAUGAUUGAAUUUCUAAUAAGCCAUUUUUUAUAAAAAAGAACAUAGCGACUCAAAAAUUGCCCUGAAGUAUUGAAUGCUGAUUUUUUACUUUCAAGAAAAUCACUCCGAUUUCAAUACAAAGCUCAGGUUCAAAUAUGUAGGAUAAAUUGAUGCAUCCAAGCUAAUUUGAUCAUAUUGUAAUUAUAAAUUACAAUUUUCAAUUCUUAUUUCAUAUGAUCUAAUUUGUGUUUCGUUUCUUUUGAUAUUAAUUGAUUCGAUUGAGCCAAAUAUUUUAACGACCAAACUCAUACACUGGUAUCACAUUGUACCCAUACGUUUACAUACGUUUAUUUUCUGGCUUCAAUAUUAAAUUAUUUUAAUUGCAAAUUAAUAAUGGCAAAGUAAUGUGUGAAAAUUCUAUACAAAUACAUUAUUAUUGAAUGCAAAUGAUUCACAUUUGCUUGUAUUCGAGCUCAAUAAAAUUCAAUUGUUUUUUCAAAUGUAGUUUUCUGCUUAGUUCACAUUUCACACCGCAAUCUGUGGCUUGUUAAUGUGAGCGAUCACAUUGUUCUUUAAAUUGAAAUUCGUGCGAUAUUUUUCUAUUCAAUUUAAAGAAAUGAUUAUUUAUUGUCUUCUGCAUUGAUCGUUCGUAAAAAAACUGUAUUGGUUACAUUUUCUUAUUUUUUCGAUGAUUUGGAAUAUUUUUACCCCCAUUUUCCUCACAAAGUUCAAGCUGAACCGUUCCCACUGAUGGAUCUCUGUAGACGAGUUAUUCGACAAAAAAUCGGCCGUGAACGAUUGGACAGCAGCGUGCAUCAAUUGCAAUUGCCCGAAUCAAUGAAAACAUAUUUAUUGUAUUAUGAUCGUAGAUCAUAAUAUAUCUUAAUUAGAUAAUGCAGCCAUUUCCAUAGGUAUUGCCAAGCAACAUAAUUGAUCCAACAUUGACCACUCGUAAGAAACAAAUGUCAUCGCUAAGGAACAGAUCAACGAAUUAACCUAUGCAUCAUCUAAACUGGCUGUAACAUCAUCAUCUUACGAACAAUAUGAGUAUUUAGGGAAGCUAAGCUGUACAAUAUUCAAGUGAAAACGAAAAAAAAAGAAGAAACAAUAAUAAGAAAAAACUCUUGUCAAGACAUGCGAACAUUUUUAUUUUGUCAAAAAAUGAAGACAUAAAAUUCGAAAAUUCACGCGAAAGUUCAAUGAGCUUUUUAAAUACACAAAUUUCACAUACAAUUGAUUACUAAUAAAAAUGAACAUUAAAAUGUUGUAA